rnacentral:misc_RNA from 1 species
AAGACUAUAGACCUGCGGAGUACCUGCGGAAGGAUCAUUAUUGAAUUAUGUUUCUAAAUGGGUUGUAGCUGGCUCGUCAGAGCAUGUGCACGCCUGUUUGGACUUCAUUUUCAUCACCUGUGCACCUAUUGUAGUCUUUGGUUGGGUAUCAAGGAAGUGGUCAGCCUAUCAGCACUUGCUGGAUGUGAGGACUUGCAGUGUGAAAGCUUUGCUGUCCUUUACUUGAUCAUGGAGUUGUUU